CCAAUCACCAUUGCAGAGGACAUGCGUCCAAGCUGAGGAUGGGUUCUGCUCAAUAAAGAUCCAAAGCAGUGCAGACUGAUGCAUGUUCAUUUUCAUCAUCUGAGCCAG